rnacentral:rRNA from 1 species
AUUGAACGCUGGCGGCAUGCCUUACACAUGCAAGUCGAACGGCAGCGGGGACUUCGGUCCGCCGGCGAGUGGCGAACGGGUGAGUAAUGUAUCGGAACGUACCAUUGAGUGGGGGAUAACUAUCCGAAAGGAUAGCUAAUACCGCAUAUUCUCUCCGGAGGAAAGCAGGGGAACGCAAGGCCUUGCGCUCAUUGAGCGGCCGAUAUCAGAUUAGCUAGUUGGUGAGGUAAAGGCUCACCAAGGCGACGAUCUGUAGCGGGUCUGAGAGGAUGAUCCGCCACACUGGAACUGAGACACGGUCCAGACUCCUACGGGAGGCAGCAGUGGGGAAUUUUGGACAAUGGGGGCAACCCUGAUCCAGCCAUGCCGCGUGAGUGAAGAAGGCCUUCGGGUUGUAAAGCUCUUUCGGCCGGGAAAAAAUCGCAUGGGUUAAUACCCUGUGUGGAUGAUGGUACCGGAAUAAGAAGCACCGGCUAACUACGUGCCAGCAGCCGCAGUAACAC